rnacentral:rRNA from 1 species
UAGGGAAUCUUCCGCAAUGGACGAAAGUCUGACGGAGCAACGCCGCGUGAGUGAAGAAGGAUUUCGGUUCGUAAAACUCUGUUGUUAGGGAAGAAAAAAAUGACGGUACCUACAGAAGAAGCAACGGCUAAAUACGUGCCAGCAGCCGCGGUAAUACGUAUGUUGCGAGCGUUAUCCGGAAUUAUUGGGCUUAAAGGGCAUCUAGGCGGUAAGACAAGUUGAAGGUGAAAACCUGUGGCUCAACCAUAGGCUUGCCUACAAAACUGUUGAACUAGAGUACUGGAAAGGUGGGUGGAACUACACGAGUAGAGGUGAAAUUCGUAGAUAUGUGUAGGAAUGCCGAUGAUGAAGAUAACUCACUGGACAGAAACUGACGCUGAAGUGCGAAAGCUAGGGGAGCAAACAGG